rnacentral:misc_RNA from 1 species
UGUGUGUGUGUGUGUGUUCGUGUGUUUGUGUGUGUGCGCAUACGCAUGUAUUUGUGAUUGUCUUCCACCGCCGCUUGACAACCAGUGUUGGUUCGUUUAUGCCCCCAACUAGCAGUUUGGCAAAUAGAGACUAAUAGAAUAUUUGGCAAAAAACAAUCCCUUCAGUUUGGCCGUAAUUCUUUGCCUGAAACAAGUAAAAAAUAAAAUGGAAGAUACUCCACCGCCAUCACCAUAACAACAGCCACCACCACCACCAUCGUUAUAUAAUUCCUGUCAAACGUUCUUUGAAAAGUACUUUGAUUAAAAGCUCUCUUCGACCAGGCUAAUCAGCAACAGUAACAACAACAACACGCCGCUGCUGUUACUACCCCCACCCUUCACAAUGCACCAACACACAUACCUCCACAUAUACCACCACCGCCACCGCCACUCUUUAUGACAAACAAAAACACCAUCAUUUCGAAACGAUAUCAAUAAUUAAAGUGGUCUGCUCUUCACAUAAACAAACAUACAACUCCACGUCGUCGUCGCCGACGACGACUAUCACCGCCAACACUGGCACCAACACCAUCAUCAUCAUCAUCACCAUCACCACCAACAACAACAGCAGCAGCAGCUCUGCAACACAUCAGUCCAACACCGUAUCACAGUAGGGCAACUCAAGGACGCCAUAUUGCAGCUGUUGUAAACAAUAUUCACCAUAGCAACCUUCCAUAGCAACUGGCUGCACAAACUACCGAGGAAACUGCCACUGUGUCCACCAUUUCUAUAUGACGUCGUGUCUUAUUAAUUGCCCAGCAAAACAUGAACUCAGGAAGUAUCAUACACGUAGUGAACCUCAAAGAAAACACACAUCCAAACAUUGCAGUGAGUUACCCAGCUUACACAAAAUGCAGGAAGCCAAGAAUUGGAGGCCCACAGUACACAUUCAGCAUCACUACAAAAACACCAAUCACCAACAACAACAACAAUAAAAACAACAGCAAGAAAAUCAACUGCAACAGAAACAACAAUGCCCCCUUCAGGAACACCAGUAGUACUAAUGCCAACAGCAGGAGUUCAACUGGUGCCGUUCCCACUUUCCAAAACAGAAAAGCUGCAGGCUUUAACACUGACAACAUCAAAUACAUUACCACAACACGCAUGCACACACUGUAUGGUCCAGUUGAUUGGCGAGAAUGCACUAGCGACAAUGCUUGUACAUGCCCACUGGGGCGUAGUAGCAGACGGAGCAGUCAGUAUCGUUCACCUCAGAAAAAGGAAACGUAUGUCCUGAAUGCAGAAUGCCAGCGCCCUACCCAAGUGCCGCAGCCCUCGUCCUUGGGCAACUUAACAUUGGAGGAUUUCUUAAGCCAGAGCCCUCUCCAACAGAAGUUCAGCUAUAAGUUAAGGAGCAACAAAAGACUGUAGGGAGCACCUGGGGAGAGGGAUUAUAUAACAGGACAGAGACAGAAGAGGAGGAAAGUAGGAAGACAUUUUUUUAAUGGGUUUUCAUGGCCCUCACCGCAGAAACCAGCCACAGUAGGGAGAUGUGGGGAAACCAGUUACAUUAUGGAGAUAUUGCAACUGUUAUCCUGUUCCUGCCCCCUCACCUUUUCAUUGAUCCACCAGAUAUCAACCGAAAUAAAGGGGCCUCUAUUAUAUGAUUACUUAACAUGCCAGAAACAGCAGCCUGGUAUCGCCUCCAAAUGAGGGACAUGGUGCAAUGGGUGGAUGGUUUGGCUUCAUAAUGAUUAUGCAAGUAAUGAUAGUGUUGAUGUGGAUGAUGAUGAUGGUAAUGAUAAUGAUGAUGAGGAGAAGGAGGAUGUUAGUGAUGAUGAUGAUAACGAUAAUGAUAGUGAUUAUUAAACUAAUUUGUAUCCACGGAA